GAUGAACGCUGGCGGCGUGCCUAACACAUGCAAGUCGAGCGAUCUUCUUCGGAAGAGAGCGGCGGACGGGUGAGUAACGCGUGGGUAACCUGCCCUGUACACACGGAUAACAUACCGAAAGGUAUGCUAAUACGAGAUAAUAUGCUUUUGUCGCAUGGUAGAAGUAUCAAAGCUCCGGCGGUACAGGAUGGACCCGCGUCUGAUUAGCUAGUUGGUAAGGUAACGGCUUACCAAGGCGACGAUCAGUAGCCGACCUGAGAGGGUGAUCGGCCACAUUGGAACUGAGACACGGUCCAAACUCCUACGGGAGGCAGCAGUGGGGAAUAUUGCACAAUGGGCGAAAGCCUGAUGCAGCAACGCCGCGUGAGCGAUGAAGCCUCGGUCGGUAAAGACUCUGUCCUCAAGAAGAUAAUAGACGGUACUUAGUAGGAGGAAGCCCGGCUAACUACUGCCAGCAGCCGC
rnacentral:rRNA from 1 species